rnacentral:rRNA from 1 species
CGUAUGCAACCUACCUAUCAGACGGGGAAGUAACCCGGCGAAAGUCGGACUAAUACCGCAGUAAAACAGGGGCACCGCAUGGUGAGUAUUUGUUAAAGAAAUUCGCUGAUAGAUGGGCAUGCGUUCCAUUAGGUAGUUGGUGAGGUAACGGCUCACCAAGCCGACGAUGGAUAGGGGAACUGAGAGGUUGGUCCCCCACACUGGUACUGAGACACGGACCAGACUCCUACGGGAGGCAGCAGUGAGGAAUAUUGGUCAAUGGGCGGGAGCCUGAACCAGCCAAGUCGCCGUGAAGGAAGAAGGAUCUAUGGUUCGUAAACUUCUUUUGCGAGGGGAAUAAAGUGCAGGACGUGUCCUGUUUUGUAUGUACCCUGAGAAUAAGGAUCGGCUAACUCCGUGCCAGCCGCCGC